UUUGAGUAAGCUAGUUUUCAACCCUUGGGUAACCAUGUGACUCUCAUGGAUAUAGGUUGCAUAAGAAACAUAAUACAUGUUUGGUUCAUGGGUAAAGUCGAUGAAAACCUUUUCCUUAAGAAAUGGUUUUACCACCACAAGAAGGCAAUUACGUCAAAUGUAAUCCCCACCUGGUACCACAAGGAGGCAAUUACGUGAAAUGUAAUCCCCACCCUACCAGGUGCGGAGGAAGUUGCCGAGACGCGGACGCAAAAAUCAUUUCGGCCCAAAAAAAAUGACGGACAAAAAAUCCUGCAUCGAACCCUCGCACUCGCCUCUUCUCACAAAACCCUCGCCCCUCUCUCACAGCCCUCUCACAAACCCUUGCCUUUCUCUCGCAACCCUCUGCGUCUUGCCUCUCUCCCAACCCUCUGCAAGGAUCCAUUUGCAAGCUUCAUCUUCUUCAAGGUAAAUUCUACCUCCUAGAUGCAGGCUAUAUGUGUGGGUUCAUGAUACCAUAGUGCAACUUGUUACCAUCUUCAUCUUCAGGAUUAUGGAGGUGCUAAUAAUCCCAGGACAAGACAAGAAAUAUUUAAUUAUCUACGCUCUUUACUGCGAAAUGCUGUUCAACGUACAUUUGGCCUAUGGAAGACACCCCCGCCCCCCAAUCUUACAGAAGCAAUUUCUCUACCCAUUUGAAACUCAAGUCAAUAUCGUCAUAGCAACAUGCAUAUUACACAACUAUAUCAGGAUGACAAGAAUUGUCCUCACUGAUGAGGAGUCAAGGUUUGAAAAUGUUGUAUUGGAACAUGCAGAUCAAAUGGUGUAAGAAUUAUCCUCACUAAUGAGGAGUCUCUUGGUGGUAUAAGAUCAAAGGGAUAGAAAUACAAUCUUUUAAAAAAUUUCCAUUAUAUAAAAAGUCAAGGGUUUAAAUGCAUAAAUAUCUCAAUAUAAAA